rnacentral:rRNA from 1 species
UAGUGGCGAACGGGUGAGUAACACGUGAGUAACCUGCCCUUAACUUCGGGAUAAGCCUGGGAAACCGGGUCUAAUACCGGAUACGACCUCCUGGCGCAUGCCAUGGUGGUGGAAAGCUUUAUGCGGUUUUGGAUGGACUCGCGGCCUAUCAGCUUGUUGGUUGGGGUAAUGGCCCACCAAGGCGACGACGGGUAGCCGGCCUGAGAGGGUGACCGGCCACACUGGGACUGAGACACGGCCCAGACUCCUACGGGAGGCAGCAGUGGGGAAUAUUGCACAAUGGGCGAAAGCCUGAUGCAGCGACGCCGCGUGAGGGAUGACGGCCUUCGGGUUGUAAACCUCUUUCAGCAGGGAAGAAGCGAAAGUGACGGUACCUGCAGAAGAAGCGCCGGCUAACUACGUGCCAGCAGCCGCGGUAAUACGUAGGGCGCAAGCGUUAUCCGGAAUUAUUGGGCGUAAAGAGCUCGUAGGCGGUUUGUCGCGUCUGCUGUGAAAGCCCGGGGCUCAACCCCGGGUCUGCAGUGGGUACGGGCAGACUAGAGUGCAGUAGGGGAGACUGGAAUUCCUGGUGUAGCGGUGAAAUGCGCAGAUAUCAGGAGGAACACCGAUGGCGAAGGCAGGUCUCUGGGCUGUAACUGACGCUGAGGAGCGAAAGCAUGGGGAGCGAACAGGAUUAGAUACCCUGGUAGUCCAUGCCGUAAACGUUGGGCACUAGGUGUGGGGGACAUUCCACGUUUUCCGCGCCGUAGCUAACGCAUUAAGUGCCCCGCCUGGGGAGUACGGCCGCAAGGCUAAAACUCAAAGGAAUUGACGGGGGCCCGCACAAGCGGCGGAGCAUGCGGAUUAAUUCGAUGCAACGCGAAGAACCUUACCAAGGCUUGACAUGAACCGGUAAGACCUGGAAACAGGUCCCCCACUUGUGGCCGGUUUACAGGUGGUUGCAUGGUUGUCGUCAGCUCGUGUCGUGAGAAUGUUUGGGUUAAGUCCCGCAACGAGCGCAACCCUCGUUGUAUGUUGCCAGCGGGUUAUGCCGGGGACUCAUAGGAGACUGCCGGGGUCAACUCGGAGGAAGGUGGGGAAGACGUCAAAUCAUCAUGCCCCUUAUGUUUUGGGCUUCACGCAUGCUACAAUGGCCGGUACAAAGGGUUGCGAUACUGUGAGGUGGAGCUAAUCCCAAAAAGCCGGUCUCAGUUCGGAUUGAGGUCUGCAACUCGACCUCAUGAAGUUGGA